CCCCUAGAUGUUCUGGGCCGCACGCGCGCUACACUGAACAGUUCAACAAGUCUUAACCUUGGCCGAUAGGUCUGGGUAAUCUUUGAACGCUGUUCGUGAUUGGGAUAGACCUUUGCAAUUAUGGGUCUUCAACGAGGAAUUCCUAGUAAACGCAAGUCAUCAGCUUGCAUUGAUUACGUCCCUGCCCUUUGUACACACCGCCCGUCGCACCUACCGAUUGAAUGGUCCGGUGAAAUCUCGGGACGGCGGCGUGGUCGCUUGCGUCCGACUGCUGAAACUUGAUUAAACCAUAUCAUUUAGAGGAAGGUGAANUCGUAACA
rnacentral:rRNA from 1 species